UGUACAUCAUAUAUAUACUUAAAUAUAUACACACUUAAAAACCCAUGUGCACUAAUUAUUUCAAAUGUAUAUGGGCUAUAAUUUUUUUUUUUAUGUAUUUUCAUUCAUUUGAAGAAUUUACCAUAAGAAAUUUGUAUGAAAAUUAUUUUUUGUUCACAUUUCUUUUAAAUAUCAAAUAUUGAAUGGAGAACGGAAGUUUAUCGAAAUUAAUUUUAUCCGCAUUAUUUUAUCCAUCUUUUAUAUUAAAUAUGUUGGAAGACCUCCCUGUGCUAUACUAAGUCAAGUGACGGAAAAUACUUUUAGUCGAAGAUCAAAUUAGGCCUGAAAGAUUUCGCAUCGAAAUUUCUUUGCUCAUGUUGUGAUUGUCUUUACCAUGGGUGAAGCAUAUUUUUCAUUUUGCAAAUUCAUUGACCAUUCACUUAUUUUUCUGAAAUGUUUACGUUAUAUUUGCUAUAUGCUUUCUCCCUGUUCACACUUAAAAAGAAAUACUGAAUUUAAUUUAAUUUUUCCACUUGUGUUUCUGACAUUGCUACUUACAGAAAACUAGUUACUUUAAAAUAUACACUAUAAUUAAUAUUAAGUACCAGUUGAAUACUGGUCGAUGCUGGCCUUGUGCCCAAAUUUGGAAACCUCAUUGAAUUAUUUCAAAAUACAUCUGAUUCGGACAAAAUUUUUCAGUUACUAAUCAUUUAAUUUUUAUAUAAAUUUGGAAAAAGUUAUAACAUCGCCUAAGUGAAUAUAGUUGUACAUUUUCUUAAAGGAAAUGACUUCUAGUCAACAUUUAUCAAUCCCAUAUCUUAACUCCUUCCAUUUUUUUCUGACGAUCAGCAAAUGUAUAUUAUAUUUAAUUGCUUACAUCAAACAUUAUUAGACAAUGUUAGCCUCUACUUCAUUUGCAUUUCUUCAUUCUACAUUCGAAACUACAUCAUCAUAAUAUGCACUAGUCAACUAUCAUGAAGUAUAUACAUAAUUUUUUACUUUUAUUCCAUGUAAUAUAUUUUAAAUAUUUUUUUAAUGGAAGUGCAGUUAAAUUCUGGAGUACAGAAUUUUCAUACUUAACUUUCCCUGUCCCAAUUAUUUUACUGUGUAUACAUUAAGAAGCAUGGUUGAUAUCGAAAACCUUACUGAAAUCCAUCCAUUCAAGACACCAUUAAGAAAAAGAUUCCAAUGCUUUUGGAUAAAUUGGUGUGAUAUAAAACCCUCAGUAUUUUGAGACUUAAGAUUUGAGAAUUCACUCAGUUAAUAUCUUUUGUUGCAUUAGAAAGGAUGAGUGAAUAGUUUGACUAAGGUUUUGCUUGAAGAUUAAAUGACCGGAAUCUAUAGGUUGGAAGGCAGUUCAAGAAAAAUUAGUUCUGUGGAGAAGUCUGCAUAUACUUUAUUAAAACCUAUUAAUAAUUUGAUAAGAAAGGUUUCUGCAUGUUACAAGAGUUAUCCACCUGUUUUCGGCAAUGACAACGAUUGGUCUCAAUUCCAGUGGUUCUCAAAAGGUGUAGUGCAGCAAUAAAAUUAUAUUUUUUAAAAAAUGUGAAAAAUACAAGCAAAAAUUCCGAAUAUUUUGAUGACUAUUAUUUAUUUAUUUAUUGAAUAAAGGACUAAAUACUUGCUAAUUUCCCAUUAUCACACACUGUUAUGUUUGGACUAAUGUCCUCAUCUUGACCGUUGGUCACAUUUUGACCAUUGCACCUGCCAUCCUUCUUCAGAAGCUUGUAGUGUUUAGUAGCAUUCUCAGAAUUUUGAACCAAAAUCAUUUUUUAAUUCAUGGUGGAGUGUUAUUGGCUAUGCCCAAAAUAUCCUCAUGUUAGUCGUAAUGCCAUUUACUCAUUCUGCUUCAACCAGAAUAUCAAUGAUACAUUGGUUGAACUAACAUAUGCCCACCUUGUAAACUACAGUGAUUAACACGAUAUUUGAUCAAUGCUAAAUGGGUUAAGCGUUGCCAUGAGUUCAAUCAUUGGUUUUGUGAAUGUGUAUAUAAACUCUGGCUCAAGUAAGUUUGUAUGCUGUGAUACCAUCCACUGUGUGUGUGUGUGACCACCAUUUCCUCAUUAGCUUUUUUACAGAACUUACGAGUAAGUGGCAUCACAACUUUGAGAAUAAUUAAGUGCAAGAAUAUCCCUGGAUUUAAGAGUUUGGUUUCUGCUAUUUGCAACUUGUAAUCCACUAAACAACUUGUUGCAUGGUUGAGUUGUUUACCACUCAACUACCACCACCCUCCAUACCUACCUGGUGAUCAUGAUUGCUAGAAACCCCAAAAUAAUAUCUGUUAAAGGAACAGAUAUAUUCUGUCUAGGAUUAAUGACCUUAUUACCAAAGUGAGGAAAGUUAGAAAUUCAAGCUUGGUAUUUGGCCCAUUGUAAGGCGACUGGGAGUUAGCCACUGCUAAGCCCUCAUUGAAGCAUGUCUCUAAGAGAAACUCUGAUAUAAAACCUUAGUGCCAUUCUGGGAGGUCAUGUCACACUCUGGACCAUCCUUCUGCUUUUAGUUUUUCCAAAGAGUGCAGUUGGUCCUACAUAAACCUUCAUUACAAUAAAUAAAUAAUGUGUGUGAGAAGUCUAAUGGUUUAGGACAGAACAGUCUGUUGAACUGUUGGAAUCUGAAUCUGACAGAAGAGUCCAUUUUGUGUAUAUGAGCAAAUGUGACUUCAGAGUGACACAGAGCAAAACAAUGGUGCUUACAUUCCUUGUAUACAGCAUGUCCCAUUAUUUGGUGAUGUCAUCAGUUUCAAUAGGAAAAAAUACCUUAUUUGGAAAUUAGUAAUGGUUGGCAAGAGGAAAGGCAUCCUACCAUAAAAAACAGCACCAUUAAACAAAAGUGAAAAUGACUGUUACUUAAUAUAAGCAGACACUUGAAGUCCAUAGGGUGGCUGCUUGAUAUGGAGUGGCUAUAAUAACCAAGGGGGAAACAUUAUUACAAAUAAUUUGUUUUUAAUGAUGAAACCUUAAGUAGAUAAAGCUAUAAAUAAUAGAAUAUAAAUAUUGAGUUUCAAAAAAUCCUUUGGAUAGAAAAUGUUAUUAUUUAUAGUUUUCUCUAAGGCAGCAAGCUGGCAAAAUGAGUAGCAGUAUUUUGUCUGUCUUUACGUUCUGAGUUCAAAUUGCCUUUCAUCCUUUCAGGGUAAAUAAAAUAAUUGAGCUCUGGGGUCGAUAUAACUGACAUACCCAUUCCCACGAAUUUGCUGGCCUUGCAUCAAGAUUUGGCAACAAGGUGAUCAGCUGGCAGAAUUGUUAGCAUGUCGGACAAAAUGCUUUGUAGCAUUUCCUUCAUCUUAAUGUUCUGAGUUCAAAUGCCACCAAGGUCGACUAAGCCUUCUAUCUUAUUGAGGUUGAUGAAAUAAGUACCAGUUGAACAAUGGGGUCAAUGUAAUUGACUUAUCCCCUCCUCCAAAUUACUGGCCUUGUGCCAAAAUUUAUAGCUUUGUUUACAAGUUUCACUGUUAGAAAUUAAUUAUUUUGAGUCUCAAAUUAUCUAAAUUCAUAUGGCAUAAACUAUUACAAAUAUAUCACUAUAAUUCGGACAGUUUUCUAAUGUUUAAAUUAUUUACAACUAAGCAUACAAAAAUUUUCUUUUGAUUUUGUGCACAAAAUGUGACAAAGUAUUUUUAUUUGCUUUAAAUUGUGUUGAAAAUUGUAAAAGAAAAAAAACCCCUUGAGAGCCAUUGAUCUAAUCCUUCAUAAUUCCAAUUUCAUUUUUUUAAAGAAAUUUUUUUCAGUGGGACAGUGACACCUAUGAUUUUUAUAGGCCCAUUUUGUCUAGUAACAUCAAGGCAGUUAUAGUUACUAAUACUAUAAUCAAGUUCAUAAAAGCAUUCUUUUUCAGUUGUAUCUUUUGUCAAUUCAACACUUAAUAUGUUGAUUUGGGAUUAUUUCCAAGAAUUUGUCCAAUUCCUUCAUAAAAGAAUUCUUUUAAUUUCUGUCUAAUAUUUUAUUAUCUGGUGUGAAAUAUUCAUUGACUGGAUGUAAUGAUGUAAAGAAAUAAAGAUUAAAAGUACAAUGAUGUUAGUCUAUCAUGAGAAUAAAAUUCUAAUAUCUUGUGGCAGGACUCUUCUUCACAGAACUAAAGUAGCUCAAAUUGGAAUUUUAAUCACAGAAUUAACACUUUUGAACAAUUUAUCAAUUUUAUACCAAACAAAAAUUCUGAGGCCAUAUCAUUAGAUAGAUGUCGACCAUGUACAUCAUGUAUGUGAAUUUGUGUUUUGUUAAAAAAGUAUUGAUUAAUUUCUCCUUUUAAAGUCAGAAAUUUACAAAUCUUUAUUGCUAAAAUGUCUUGCUGUAUGAACCAUUUAUUCUUCCCAGCAAAACAACGAUCUUACUUGUGUUCACGAAACAAUGACUAAUUUAUGCAUUUAUCAGUUUCAGAAAGAUUUUAAUUUUAAAAAUACCAAACUGGUUUGCUUUAUUAUAUUUAUUUAUUUAUUUUUACCAUGGAAAGAAACCGGCCAUUCCACAGACAAAUGGUCUGAGAUGGAACCACCAAAGAUGACCUUUAUAUUGAAAGCAUAUUUAUAUUUUAAUAAAAUAAUCAGGUUUAGUUUAUUCAGCAACAUGUCUGAAAUAGUAUAUAGUUUUCAUUUUGGCUUUUAUUAACAUUUACUUUCUUAUUCACUCACUUGCUUCUAUUUUUGGCUACAUCCUGUAAUUGUCUUUUUUAACACCUAUUUUUCUCAGCUGAUAUGCUGUCCUGUAAUCCUAGCAUUUUCCCAUUAAUCUCAGUCCAAUGUUAUCUUAUGUGUUAGACACAUCUCUUUCAAGUUCUCUCCACCAUUAAUUUGCAACACUUUUUUUCACUUAGAAUAUUUAUUAAAAUAGAAAUAGAUUGCAAUAUCUUAAUUUUGGCUUGAGAAAAUUUUUUUCUUUCUUUUUUUUUUUUCAAUUCUUAUUCUAGAAUUUAUUCUUUGUAUCAAUUUUUACUAAGGAUUUAUUAUUAUUGUGCUGAAAAAGAAGAACAUUGCAUCUUGCUAGAAAAAUUUGGACCUUUGUGUUUGUGUGUAAUACUUUGUACAACUUGAAUCUAAUGAUGCACAACCAAUGACCUUGCUACUUGAGCCAGCAUUAGAUUUGAAAUUUUUUCAUCAUACAAUUAAGUGAUUUUAAGUUUGUUUUGAGGUUUCUAAGUGGAUUUAAUGGUCUCUUCUACAGAAACGUUAAUUUGGAUAUUUUAUUUGGAAGAGAUCUAAAGACAGAGUAGCUAAAAUAAUGUGAUCUUACAAUCCAUCAGCGUAUAUGUUUAAAAAAAUGAGAGGUGAACUGAUAUUAGGAUUACGACCUUCAGAAAAAUAACAAAGGACUGGGGCAAGUGAGGAGAUGCUGGGCUGAAACUUAAUGCCCUCAUCUAACCCAUGCUAGUUGGAAAAGUGGAUGUAUAUGAUUGUAGAGUUGGAAAUUAAUCUUUUUCUCUUGAGUUCUUACUGAUGAUACAUAAUUAAAAAUAGAAUUGUAUUUAAUAAUUUUAAUUAUUUUAUAAAUCCUUUCUACAAAGAAAAAAAAAAUACAAAUGUUUAGUGCUGUAGAAACUUCCAUACUUAAUGGAGUGAACCAAAAAAAAUUCUUUUUUUGCCUCAUGGGCAGCCUUUGUUUUUUUAACCCCAAAAGAUUUUUCAACCUAAUACUUCCCCGUUAUCAGUUAUACCUUUGUGUGUGUGCUUUGAGAUAUUCCAAAAAAGAAUUCACUCACAUUCCCUUAGAAGUUUCCAAACUUCGUAAGAUGUCGAGAAUAAAAAAAUAAAAAAAUUUAACCCAUUAAAAUUAU